rnacentral:rRNA from 1 species
GCGCUGAAGCCAGUCGAAGAUACCAGCUGGCUGCAACUGUUUAUUAAAAACACAGCACUGUGCAAACACGAAAGUGGACGUAUACGGUGUGACGCCUGCCCGGUGCUGGAAGGUUAAUUGAUGGGGUCAGCCGCAAGGCGAAGCUCCUGAUCGAAGCCCCAGUAAACGGCGGCCGUAACUAUAACGGUCCUAAGGUAGCGAAAUUCCUUGUCGGGUAAGUUCCGACCUGCACGAAUGGCGUAAUGAUGGCCAGGCUGUCUCCACCCGAGACUCAGUGAAAUUGAACUCGCUGUGAAGAUGCAGUGUACCCGCGGCAAGACGGAAAGACCCCGUGAACCUUUACUAUAGCUUGACACUGAACAUUGAGCCUUGAUGUGUAGGAUAGGUGGGAGGCUUUGAAGUGUGGACGCCAGUCUGCAUGGAGCCAACCUUGAAAUACCACCCUUUAACGUUUGAUGUUCUAACCUAGGCCCAUAAACUGGGUCGGGGACCGUGUCUGGUGGGUAGUUUGACUGGGGCGGUCUCCUCCUAAAGAGUAACGGAGGAGCACGAAGGUUGGCUAAGCAUGGUCGGACAUCAUGCGGUUAGUGCAAAGGCAUAAGCCAGCUUGACUGCGAGAGUGACGGCUCGAGCAGGUACGAAAGUAGGUCUUAGUGAUCCGGUGGUUCUGAAUGGAAGGGCCAUCGCUCAACGGAUAAAAGGUACUCCGGGGAUAACAGGCUGAUACCGCCCAAGAGUUCAUAUCGACGGCGGUGUUUGGCACCUCGAUGUCGGCUCAUCACAUCCUGGGGCUGAAGUAGGUCCCAAGGGUAUGGCUGUUCGCCAUUUAAAGUGGUACGCGAGCUGGGUUUAGAACGUCGUGAGACAGUUCGGUCCCUAUCUGCCGUGGGCGUUGGAAGAUUGAGAGGGGUUGCUCCUAGUACGAGAGGACCGGAGUGAACGCACCACUGGUGUUCGGGUUGUCAUGCCAAUGGCAUUGCCCGGUAGCUAAGUGCGGAAGAGAUAACCGCUGAAAGCAUCUAAGCGGGAAACUUGCCUCGAGAUGAGUCUUCCCUGUCGCUUUAAGCGACCUAAAGGAACGUUUAAGACUAAGACGUUGAUAGGCUGGGUGUGUAAGCGUAGCGAUACGUUGAGCUAACCAGUACUAAUGAACCGUGAGGCUUAACCUG